AAAAUACUAAGGUAAAAAAUCUUAUAAAUAAUACCUUUAUUCAAUAUAUUGUGAUUUUUUCCCUAGUGCAUUUUAAUUAUUUUUUUUAUUUUUGAAUAUGUAGGUAUGUGAACUGCAUUUCUCAUCAUCUGACUUUUUGACAGAAUCAUCAGGCUAUGAUGAAAAAACAAGACAAUUGGUCAGUGCACCAUUAAAAACAAGAAGUUGAGAAAAGGAGUAAUUCCUUCAAUUUUUCCCAAAUUUUCGAUUUCUUCGAUCACAGAAGAGAAGAAUGGUGUUCGCACAUCACCAAAUAGUAAGAAAAUCUUACGAGAAAAUAAUUUUCUACAACGUGUCAUGGUGGAGAGCAUUCAAACAAAUGAACAAUAUGUUAAUGAAAGAAAGAUUUCCAAAUUAACAGAUGUCAUGCAGUGUAUUAAAAAAUUUGGAAUCCCAGAUUCAUGGACUGUUAUUUCUUCAUCAGAACAUGUAUGCUUAAUCAAUUUACAGGUAAUUCCUGUGCCUGAAAUUAAUUUUUCAAUUAUAAUUAACAAACAAAUGGAAGUUUCUGCAUUUGUCAAAAAAUUCCAGUUCAUCAAUUAGACGAGGAUAAAAAUUUUAAAUUUCCUUUCAUUUUGCAGAACUUCAAUGAUCUGCUACAUAUUAUUGACAAGUUACAAAAACAGUGCAAUAAAUUUGACCAUGAAGUAGUAAAAGCCAUUGAAGAUUUAAUGCAAAUAUUAAAAAAAGAGAGAUCUGAUCAUGAAAAUCUUAUUAUGUUCAUUCAAGAACAGCUGCAGUUACUAUGUUUAAAAAAAAAAAUAACUUGUCAGAGAACUAAUAACUUGUUAUUAGAGAAAGUGAAAAUUUGAUUCUUCUGCAUCCAAGUACAAUUCGG
rnacentral:lncRNA from 1 species